UUGCUGCCCAAAGUGCCAGGAGAUUUCAUGUCUACUGAAGGGCUCACUCUCUGCUCCAAAAAAUUGAUUCUACCAUGAGGAAAAGAAGGAACACUGGAAAUCACAUGGCAGGAGAAUGGAAGCUUUUCCAAAAAUUGUGAUGAAGCAGGCAGGCCUUCAACCUAUAAGACAGUGCUUGUUCAAAAUUGAGCGAAGACAGACCUUACUCAGCCUGCUUAUUCAAAAAUCAAUAUUGUGCUCGCUUCGGCAGCACAUAUACAAAAAUCAAUAUCAUCUGGAAACACCCUCAAAUUCACAACCAGAAAAAAUACUUAGCAAGCUGCCUCAUUAUCCUUCCUGUGUAGCCCCAGUACUGGGAAUUGAACCCAGGAAGUUCACACUGAG
rnacentral:lncRNA from 1 species